GCUUACGGCCAUACCACCCUGAAUGCGCCCGAUCUCGUCUAAUCUCGGAAGCUAAGCAGGGUCAGGCCUGGUUAGUACUUGGAUGGGUGACCGCCUGGGAAUACCAGGUGCUGUAAGCU
rnacentral:rRNA from 1 species